GACGAACGCUGGCGGCGUGCUUAACACAUGCAAGUCGAGCGGUAAGGCCCCUUCGGGGGUACACGAGCGGCGAACGGGUGAGUAACACGUGAGUAACCUGCCCCAUUCAUCGGAAUAACCAGUGGAAACGCUGGCUAAUGCCGAAUACGACCAUCGAGGGCAUCUUCUGGUGGUGGAAAGCUCCGGCGGAGUGGGAUGGACUCGCGGCCUAUCAGCUUGUUGGUGAGGUAAUGGCUCACCAAGGCGACGACGGGUAGCCGGCCUGAGAGGGUGACCGGCCACCCGGGGACUGGGAAAAGGCCCAGACUCCUACGGGGGGCAGCAGUGGGGAAUAUUGGACAAUGGGCGAAAGCCUGAUCCAGCAACGCCGCGUGAGGGAUGACGGCCUUCGGGUUGUAAACCUCUUUCAGCAGGGACGAAGCGAAAGUGACGGUACCUGCAGAAGAAGGACCGGCCAACUACGUGCCAGCCGCCGCAGUAA
rnacentral:rRNA from 1 species